GAGGCGCGCCGGCUGGUUCAACUCCGGCCGCCGCGCCGAAACCAGCAGCGGUCCGGGUCGAACCAGCACCGGCCUCGGGAGGUUCCGACGCCUGCUCUGCCGCUGUUCCAACUGCCGCUGUAGAGCCACUGGGAUGCGCACCACCGGCAGGGGUUCCUCGGGACUGCGGACCGUGAGGCCUCGUCGGGGCGUCAGGAGCAACCGAGCCACGAGAGAAAAGAGCCGCACCGGCCGCGUUAGAGCCAUGUUUCCCUUAGUGCAGGAGAAGCGCACAUCAGUGACGUCACGGACGCGCCGCGGCCUCGCAUACGGUGGCUGGCGAGGCUCAGUACGGUGUGUAGAGCUGGAGCACCGUGAGGAAGAAGCGAGGUUCUCUUUAAGAGUUCAGCUGCGAGAUAUCAAACAAAGAAUUACUCUGUACAAAGCCAGAACAAAUAUAUCAAAGUAAUCCUGAAGUAUCAGAACAAAAUAAUAGGCUGUAACAGAGAAGGAAAUGAUUUUGAAUAGCCUCUCUCUGUGUUACCAUAAUAAGCUAAUCCUGGCCCCAAUGGUUCGGGUAGGGACUCUUCCAAUGAGGCUGCUGGCCCUGGAUUAUGGAGCGGACAUUGUUUACUGUGAGGAGCUGAUCGACCUCAAGAUGAUUCAGUGCAAGAGAGUUGUUAAUGAGGUGCUCAGCACAGUGGACUUUGUCGCCCCUGAUGAUCGAGUUGUCUUCCGCACCUGUGAAAGAGAGCAGAACAGGGUGGUCUUCCAGAUGGGGACUUCAGACGCAGAGCGAGCCCUUGCUGUGGCCAGGCUUGUAGAAAAUGAUGUGGCUGGUAUUGAUGUCAACAUGGGCUGUCCAAAAGAAUAUUCCACCAAGGGAGGAAUGGGAGCUGCCCUGCUGUCAGACCCUGACAAGAUUGAGAAGAUCCUCAGCACUCUUGUUAAAGGGACACGCAGACCUGUGACCUGCAAGAUUCGCAUCCUGCCGUCGCUAGAAGAUACCCUGAGCCUUGUGAAGCGGAUAGAGAGGACUGGCAUUGCUGCCAUCGCAGUUCAUGGGAGGAAGCGGGAGGAGCGACCUCAGCAUCCUGUCAGCUGUGAAGUCAUCAAAGCCAUUGCUGAUACCCUCUCCAUUCCUGUCAUAGCCAAUGGAGGAUCUCAUGACCACAUCCAACGGUAUUCAGACAUAGAGGACUUUCGACAAGCCACGGCAGCCUCUUCCGUGAUGGUGGCCCGAGCAGCCAUGUGGAACCCAUCUAUCUUCCUCAAGGAGGGUCUGCGGCCCCUGGAGGAGGUCAUGCAGAAAUACAUCAGAUACGCGGUGCAGUAUGACAACUACUACACCAACACCAAGUACUGCUUGUGCCAGAUGCUACGAGAACAGCUGGAGUCGCCCCAGGGAAGAUUGCUCCAUGCUGCCCAAUCUUCCCAAGAAAUUUGUGAGGCCUUUGGCCUUGGUGCCUUCUAUGAGGAGACCACACAGGAGCUGGAUGCCCAGCGGGCCAAGCUCUCAGCCAAGACUUCAGAGGAGACAGGGGAGCCAGCUGAAGAUACCUCUGGUGUCAUUAAGAUGGCUGUCAAGUUUGACCGGAGAGCAUACCCAGCCCAGAUCACCCCUAAGAUGUGCCUACUAGAGUGGUGCCGGAGGGAGAAGUUGGCACAGCCUGUGUAUGAAACGUCAGCAGCUCCCCAGUGUCUGAAGGAUCAAGCCAGCACCUCAGCAUAGAGCCUGAGACCCUUCCACGUGCCUCGCUCCUUCCAGUUUCAUCCCUGCAGCCCUUUGCUCCAGCCAAGUCACCUGGUCCCUCUGCCAGGUGUGCCUUCUCUGCUCCUAGCUUGUCCCUUCUCCCCCUUUUGGCAUCUGGUGACUCCUCAUUUUGGGGACCUGGCCUAUCCAGAUGUCAGCAGGAGGCUCCAUAGUCACGUGCAGCUAAGGGCUCUGCUGCGCUUUGCUUAGGUCCAUGACAGCUCCAGACACUUGAGGUCAUUGUGUAUUUGUGCAUCUGCCUUUCUCCACUGGGCACUUUUGCUUGGGAGGAGCAUGUGAUACAGGCAGCCUUCAUUUGACUUAGAUUGGAAAUACUUCCUUUUAUCUGCCUUUGAUUUGACCCCAGCAGGUUGGCCUACAGGGCUCAUUUCUCUGGCCAUGUGUUUCCUUUUCUCUUUGUACCAGGUUCAACGCCCUCUAGAUCGCCUGUUCUCCUCUAUUGUCACCGUUGCUGAACAAAAGUAUCAGUCUACCUUGUGGGACAAGUCCAAGAAACUGGCGGAGCAGGCUGCAGCCAUCGUCUGUCUGCGGAGCCAGGGCCUCCCUGAGGGUCGGCUGGGUGAGGAGAGCCCUUCCUUGCACAAGCGAAAGAGGGAG